GUGUCAGAAACUUGUCCUUCAAAAGUCACCCACUGAGGAAAGCAGAUUCUUCUGCAGGAUGUGAAGGGGAAACAUGAGGGAAGGAUUCCUGGGUACCAGAGAGAUCUGCUAUUCAGAUUGCCUGCUAACACUGGGCUUGAUUAAUGGAAACCAAGCAUUUUGAAGGCUACCCUCCAGCAUUGCCUUUCCCUUUCCAUGUUCCCUUGGCAGAAAUCAGGGAUUUGAAAGCUGCAAUACAACAGCAUCACCUUUCCAUCUUGUGCUCAUCUUCACCAUCACCAGAGUCUCCGGUGCCAUCUAUGUCUCCGUCCUCAGCACUGCUAUCCAGGGGAGCCCCACCAAAGCUGUCCAGAGCCUCUUCGGCGUCGCGGUGCUGCCGG